GAUGAACGCUAGCGGCAGGCUUAAUACAUGCAAGUCGUGGGGCAGCAGGGGUAGCAAUACUCGCUGGCGACCGGCAAACGGGUGCGCAAUACGUACGCAACCUUCCUUUAAGCGGGGAAUAGCCCAGGGAAACUUGGAUUAAUACCCCAUAAUAUGUUGAAGAGGCAUCUCUUUAAUAUUAAAGCUCCGGCACUUAAAGA
rnacentral:rRNA from 1 species